rnacentral:lncRNA from 1 species
AGCAGUCUAAGAGAGGCUCGAAUGUUUUCGAGGUUACUGACGAGCCCACUGUUGUUGGGUGCCUUGGGCGCUGAUGCUGCAGGUGGAAAUCAUCUGCUGUAGAAGCUCGAAUGGGGACUUUCUGUUGAAGAAGUCCGACCGAAGUCCGAUUGCUAGAGAAGUCCUUCUGGAAUUUGCCUGAUGUAGAAGCUCAUCUGAGGACUGUCAGUCGGAGAGGUCCGGUUUCAUGAGGAAUCCGAUAGAAGGUCGACCGACAGUGGAGUUCGGAUAGCAUUGUGGAGGUUCGUCC